AGAAAGACCUUCAUCAGUCAUCCUAGCUAAGGAUUUGAGGGAUCGCUCAGAUCUUUUCUGUAGAUACACCCACUCUACUCCUGUUGCUCCCUCUUAGGGAGAGAAGUCUUAGGUUGUAAGCUCCUCUCAAUCCUCCAAAGCUGGGUCUACACUGAGCACCUCCCAUUUUCCCUAAUGCAGUGCUCUGAAGCAUUCAAGGUUGGGCACCUUCUCCCAGUCCAGCAGAGUCAAGCCGGCUGCUCAGAUUUGCAUCUGCCGUUGAGAUCUGUGUACUGUUUGGGAGGAGGGUGCAUGAGACACCAUAUGCUCAGGGGUACGUGGAGUGCUGGGGGCAUGGAUCAGUUGGUUGGGGGGCCCACAGGCAAGUUGUUCUGUGGGUUCAUGGGCGGGCCUCCUGGUGGAGUGUUAGCUGGUUAGUGGGAUCCAUGGCUGGCUGUUGGUUGCUAGGCAUGUCCUUCCCUUCUCCUAGCAGUCCCCAGGUGACUCAGCCAUGCUGAUUCCUCAGUGUUCUGGGGAGAGACACAGGUGGGCUAUUGGGCAGCAUCCUAUAAGGUUGGGGAAGCUGGUGCUCACUCAGCACUCAGUUUCCCCUGUGGGAGAAACCACAGGCCCAGGGGGGCCUCAUUGGAGGAGCACUAGCACAGGUAAACUGAACCUUCUUAGCCUCUUCGGUGUGCUCUCUUUGCCCUGUGGGGUGCUAGAACCUCUCAGUGUUUCUGUGGGGGCAUGAGGGCUGGAACCUCCUAUUCUGUCACCUUCCUGGCCUCUUCCUACAAUUAUUUUUAUGCUCAAAUUGCCCCCGAUUUGGACAGGGGGAGAGCCUUCAGGCUGCUCCUCCAGCCCUCUCACAUGUCCCCAACGUUGUUCAGCAUUUCCUUAUUUUCCAGCACUAGACAUUCUAAGGCUCACCCUGUACUCUCUCUGCUCUUCCCUGGAAAUAGUCAUUUCUCCAAAGAGUUCUGUUCCCUUGGAAUAGAGAAUGGUAUUUACAAACCAAGAAAUGGAUUUCAGGUGUGCCAGUUGUUUCUGGGGUGGCAUUGCUUCUAGGCCCCUUCGGUGGACAGAGCUGGGAAAGAAACUGUGUGUAUCAUAUAUAUCUGCACACGUAAGCUGUGUGUGUAUCAUAUAUAAUACAUCUGCACAUAUAAAUUGUGUAUAAUACAUCUGCACAUAUAAACUGUAUCAUAUAUAAUACAUCUGCACAUAUAAACUAUCAUAUCUGCACAUAUAAACUAUCAUAUCUGCACAUAUAAACUAUCAUAUAUCUGCACAUAUAAACUGUAUCAUAUAUAAUACAUCUGCACAUAUAAACUGUAUCAUAAUACAUCUGCACAUAUAAACUGUCAUGUAUAUCUGCACAUAUAAACUGUAUCAUAUAUAAUCUGCACAUAUAAACUGUGUGUAUCAUAUAUAUCCGCACAUAUAAACUGUGUGUGUAUCAUAUAUAUCUGCACAUAUAAACUGUGUGUGUAUCAUAUAUAAUACAUCUGCACACAUGCUUCUCUGUAUUGAAAACCAAAUUGUCACGGACCACUCCCAUUCUCACGCAGCAUUUAGGGCUGUGGCUAGCCUUUCCCAGCUGUAAGAAACCUGUCUUUCAGCAUGAUAAACACAUUUACUUAUUUGCUCAGUCCUCUAAUAUGCAGAAAGUAGUUUUAGAAUUGCCAAAACCAUACAACUUGGAAAAACAAGCAUGAUUACUUCAAGAUGUGUUUGUAGCUCCUUCUGUCCUGGCAUUGGACGUGGAGAGAAAGCACAGACUGUUCCAAGUUUCAUUUUUCCCCUUCUCUGAAACGCAGAGAGCGUUGUUUGUUUCUGUUUGUAUUUCAUUUGGGUCCUCCCUCUAGCCUUAUUCAUAAAUUUGUAAAUGAUCUUUAACAAUCUGUUAUAUUUAUGAUGUUUUACUGCGUGCUGCCUGUGAAAAUGUUUCCUUCUUCUGACACGUUCCAGAACAACUAGGCUUUUAAAUUCCAAAUAUUCCUGUUUCACAAUAAACCAGAUGAGGGCCUCUGUUGUGCCACAGCUUUUGGAAUGUGGUUUAUUACCAAUAGAAGUGGCUGCGUGGCUUGUUAUGGUUUCAAUUACACGUGAGUAACAACCGGGGCCCUUCUGUGUCAGGUGCUGCUGAUCAAGGCUGGCUAAUGGGGACCUCGCUGUCCAGAACGGGCGUUUCCCAUGGCCCGGCCCAGCUGUUUACCACUUCUGUCUACCAUUUCAGAGGGGCUUUGCGGAGAUUAAAUGAGGUGAAGCGCUCUGAGAACCUCAGUCCUAAAGAAUAGCAGUUAUACUGGUUUUUGUAUUAUAUUUAUAUAUUCUUCUUGUUAAUAUACUGGUUUUAAUGUUCAUCGUUCUCUUGGGAUCCCAUGACAGUGAGCCUGGUGUACCUGAGGUCUGGGAUACUCACACCUCUCCCCAGUCCCAUGCUCCCCACUGUGGCAGUGCCUGUCAGGGACCCUGCUGACCCCAGGAAGCCUCGGUGUCCCCAGCGCUGGCUCUGCUCACACAGGCAGCAGGCUUAGUGUUCUCUGGCCUGGCUGCACUGACUGGACCAGGGACAGGGGAAGGGCCCCAAAGCACCCUGUUCCAGGCAGCCGGCCAGUCGUGGCCGAGGAGCUCCAUUCAACAGUGGCACCCAGAGGGGCCAGGGUCUCAUAAAGCUGGUCAGACGCCCCCUCUGGGUAGGGGUGUAGGAAGCGGCUGUGCAGCCGGGUCCCAGGUAGGGAGGCAUAGAGUGAAGGCUGUGAGCAGGAGCCCUGGGGCGGAGGGCCAGGAGAAGGCUGGGCACAGGUCCAUCGGUGGCAGCUGGGUGGGCAGAGCAGAGAGGCUGCAUCUGCACGACGGCAGGGCCCUGGUGUGGGAACAGCAGACGGGGCCCCUGGGUGCGGCGCCUCCUUCCCACAUCCCUGCUGCUCCUGCAUCUGCUGCUGGAGAAGACCACGACGUGCUCAGACCCCGGCACUGGAGAACUCCAGAUGUGGUGAGGGCUGCACGUUAGCUGCAUACGCACAUCUGGAAGGUGAGGCAGACGUGCCCACCGCCUCCAUGCCUGGCCCACAGUUGUGGGCAUGCAGAGCUCCUCUGUGGCAGGCCCAGGCUGCACCAGCUGCCUGGAGAGGCACUGGGGGCGGGGCCUCACUUGAGGGGCAGAUUCUCCCACCCAGCCAGUCCAGGCCCAGCGGCUGGAGCAUCCCGUCCAGCAAAUUGUCCUGCAAGUUGCCCUGGAGACCCAGCGUCUCUCAUCACGUCUCACUCCCCUGCCAGAUGCCUCUGCGGCAAUAACGAGAGUGGCUCUGCCUUCUGCACUGAAUGCCGACAGGUGACCAGAACAUGACACUGGGGUUAUGCAGUGCCCUGGUUGAUAUUCUAGUUCAUCAGGGAGCUUCUGGAAUGAUUUUUUUUUUCUUUUUUUUUUUUUUUUGAGACAGAGUCUCUCUCUGUCGCCCAGGCUGGAGUGCAAUGGAGCAAUCUUGGCUCACCACAACCUCUGCCUCCGGGGUUCAAGUGAUUCUCCUGUCUGAGCCUCCUGAGUAGCUGGGAUUACAGGUGUCCACCACUAUCACUCAGUUAAUUUUUAUAUUUUUAGUAGAGAUGGGGUUUCACCAUGUUGCCUGGGCUGGUCUCAAACUCCUGACCUCAGGUGAUCUGCCUCCUCAGCCUCCCAAAGUGCUGGGAUUACAGGCAUGAGCCACCUCACCCAGCCAACUUUCUUUUGCUUCACUUUUCCUCUGGUUGCCCCAUCUUUAUUGUCAAGUCCUGUUAAGAGGAACAACAUUAAAAUGAGAGCUUUCAUGGCAAAAAGGUUGCUGUGGGUUGAGCUUGCAAUGUUAGCUGCGUGUUAGGAUUCAGCUGACAUCUGUCUCUGGAGUCUCGCCCUUUCUGUAAUUCGCUUUUGACUGUAAUAAAUGUUGUACAGUGAAUGUGUGGGUGGGGCCUCUGAGUUACAUCGGCUCAAGGCCUCUUUUAAGGAGGACCCAAAUAAGAGUGGGGAUUGAUGUAUUUGACUGGGAACCCACUCAGGGCCACCAUGCAGUGAAGCUCCGGAGCAGGGGUGUAGACGCCCUGCUUGAAGCGUUGAGAAGCCCCACAGUACAAGUGUGCAGAAGUCAAGCUCCUCCUGCUGGAGCAGGGACAGGGCAAUAGGGAAAGGCUUUUCCAGAGGCAGGGUCAUUGGGACUGGCUCUUCCGGGAGGAGCUGAGGGCACACGCUGGGCAGAGCUGACCUCUGUGUGCGGAUCGCCUGGGAUGGCGCCUCCGGUGGCCUCACGAUAAAGCACCUCAGAGGCAGGAGAUGAACUUGAGACCUGACCGUGAAGGAGUGAGGAGUGAAGUCCUCUUCUCAACAGAAGGAAACCAUCAAAGAGGUUACAUAAUCAAAACUGUGUUGUCAAAAUAUUGCUGGACAGAGAUGGCGGCUGGUCCGGCACGUGGGAAUGUUGGUGACAAGAGGUCAGUUCGGUGGCUCUUGGACCUCCCAGGCCAGGAGGGAAGCGCCCAGGCCAAGGUGGGAGCCUGAGAAUAGAGAUUUCAAGAGACGCUUCUAAUGAAUGCUCAUCAGAAUGUUAUUAUUAUUUUAUUUUAUUAUUUUAUUGGGACUGGAUUGACUUGCAUUUCCUUCACUAAUCAGAAGUUUGAGGGCAAAGAUAAAUCUCAAAUAAUCACCUUGCAUUUCUGAUGAGUUAAAUGAGUGUGUUUUAUGCCCUGGUUGUAUGAGCUUGCUUUUCCACAAAUAAGAGUGGAAAUUUUAUUUUAUUAUUAUUUUGUAUUAUUAUUUUAUUUUAUUUUU
rnacentral:lncRNA from 10 species